ensembl:misc_RNA Metazoa_SRP Metazoan signal recognition particle RNA
GCCAGGCACGCGCCUAUAGGCCCAGCUACUUGGGAGGCUGAAGUGGGAGAACUGCUUGAGUCCAGGAGUUCUGGACUACAGUGUGCUAUGUCAAUCAGGUGUUCACACUAAGUUCCCCAUCAAUAUAGUGACCUCCUAGGAGCUGGAGACCACCAGGUUGCCUAAAACCGGAGGUACCAGCCCAGGCUGGAGAUGGCACAGGUUGAAAUUCCCAUGCUGAUCAGUGGUGGAAUCAUGCCUGUGAAUAGCCUCUUUACUCCAGCCCAGGCAACAUAGCAAGAUGCUGUCUCUU